rfam:Myotis davidii contig141317, whole genome shotgun sequence.
CAGGGGGAGGGGGAAGUCUCUUAACUCAGAUUGCAAGAGGGUGCAGGCCAGGCUGAGGGACCCCACCGGUGCACA